GAGUUUGGAACCUGACAGUCCAGAGUUUAAAUUCCGCUUCCACUCUCCAUCAUGGGUAUGGAGUCCCCAAGACUUGGAUAAUCCUCCCACAAAUCAGGAGCAAUAAUAUCCACUCAGAGACUUUUAUGUGAGCCACAGAGGAUGGUAUAUGCGAAAGUGCUUCAUUAACCAUGAAAGCCGCUAAUAACGGAAUUAUUAUUUAUGAAUUCCAAAUAGCAUGGAGCAGCAUGGGUGGUUGCUGUUCUUAUGUAUCAUCUCUGUAACGGUACAGAAAAAAAAGACAGCAGAGUGAACUUCUAGAGGGACGACUACAUCGCUAUACCGAUGAAAUACAUAACAUCUAUGCAGGAAGGCUGGAUUUAAAGGUCUGUGUCAACAAUCAAGACAAGGGGUUGGAGAGACAGCUCAGCAGUUAAUCACACUCCCUGCUUUUGCAGAGGACCUGAGUUUGGUUACCAGUACCCAUGUCAUGUGGUUCACAACCUCCUACAACUCCAGCUCUAGGAGAGCCAACACCUCUGGCCUCACAAGACUAUGUGCUCCUGGGGAAAACACCAUCCGUUAACUCACUGCUGUACACCAAGGCUUGCCACACAUACCAGGUGCUCAUGAAUUUCUGUGGACACGAAUGAGUGACCGAAUGAAGGUUCAUAUACACGGAAGCCUCAGAAACAAAUGAUUGUUGGCUGCUCAGUGGAUAGAACUCGGGGCAACC